CUUCCGGGAAACAAGGUAGAUGUACCUCGCUGAUCGGAAGGGUUUCCUUCCGGUCAACGAGGUACAUCACCUCAUUGACCGGAGGGAAACCCUUCCGAUCAAUGAGGUACAUCUACCUCAUCGACCGGAAG
rnacentral:miRNA from 1 species